CCUCCUCCUCCUGUCCUUCCCUCCCUAAACUGCAGGCUUGGCGAAUGGGUCUCCAGGUUAAGAGGAGGGAAGCCCAGGGAGACUGGAGUUACUGGAAGAAAAACAUCAUUUUCAGAGACCUCGCCACUGUGCUGUGUCCUCUGGUUUCGCCUGGUAUAGAGUGAAUAAACAAACAGUUAUGAGUUUUAUGCUGGGAGGGGCAGUUGAAGUUGACGUACGUACUGAGGAGAUAAUUGUAUACGAGGACCCUGACCUUGCAGAGUUACUGUGGAGCUGUGGAGAUAGCACUGAAGAAGGUGCUUCUUUGGUAUCCAGUUCUCAUUCUUGUGGCUGAGACACCGUCCUCUCCAACCACAGAGCCUGUGAAAGCGAUGGCCAAGAUCCUAACAGCCCAUCAGGCACUGUGCAAGUGAUCCCCACAGAACACCUUGGAAGACUUCUGCUCUUCUAGCCUCCAUUGCUUUCAUGUCACCUUGUGAAAAGGUUGCCGCCCUGGUUUCAGGCAUAAUUUCAAGGGUGCUGAAUAUAAGAAACAAAGUCUUUUCAGGAGAAAACUCUUAACUUCAGUGUCUUAACUGCUUGCUAUGCAGGUAGGAAAUAGAGUUUACAUAAAGAUAAUGUUUCUGAAAUACAUAGUAGGAAUAUCUUUUUUUUUUAAAUCCUUAGUGACAUCUAAGGAUAGUGGAUGUUUAUUACUUCAUUUCAAAAAUUUAACUUCGCUCAUAAAGAAGUUUGGAAACUCAAAAUUAAAAAAAAUCCUUAUUUUAGGAGACUCAUUUUAACAUAUUUAUGCUUUGAGAAGCCCUGUGUGGUGAAUUGAAUAGGUUUGGCCUCCAUAGACUCGUGUACUUGAAUGCUUGACCCACAG
rnacentral:sRNA from 1 species